rnacentral:tRNA from 12 species
AAAUCCGUCGACUUUAUAAAUCGUGAGGGUUCAAGUCCCUCUAUCCCC